rnacentral:lncRNA from 1 species
CAGCUAUCUAAUGGAAUAUCAUGCAACCAUUAAAAUGGACGAGGCAGUUUUAUGUGUGCUAAUGUGAACACUCGGCGAUAAAUCAAGAUACACUGUUCAGUGUAAAAAGCAAGGUGCAAACAGUGUAUACCGUGUAAUCAUUUGGGAAACAAAUGCAUGUGUAAGCUCAUAUAUGGACAGACUGUAAAGACACAAGAAGCUGGUGUCAGCAAUUCCUCCCACGGAGGGUGCACAUGAUUUCUUUUCACCAAGAAUCUCUGUUAUCAUUUGAAUUUUGAACCAUGUACAUAAAUUACAUAUUCAAUUAGAUAAAAAUAAAUAAUAGGCCGGACAUGGUGGCUCACACUUGUAAUCUAUCACUUUGAGAAGCCGAGGCAGGAGGAUCGCUUGAGCACAGGAGUUCGAGACCAGCCUGGGCAACAUGGCAAGACCCCAUCACCACAAAAAAAUACAAAAAUUAGCCAGGUGUGAUGGUGCAACAUGUGGUCCCAGCUACUCAGGAAGCUGAGGUGAGAGGAUCACCUGAGCCCAGGGAAGUUGAAGCUGCAGUGAGUCAUGACUGUGUCACUACAUUCCAGCCUGGGUGACAGAGUGAGACCCUGUCUCAAAAAAUAAUAACAAAUCUGAGAAGAGCUUCUUGGGUUUGUUAUCACAAAUGUGAUUAAUUACCCUGUCCCAUUAUUAAAACCACACAGCAAGCCUGCUAUGAGUCCAUUCAUAGUCACUAGGUGAGCCCACGUGAGCCUUGCACUGCACCAAAUCCUACUGGGGAAAAUGUCAGCUUGUGAUGGAAACUACAGAAAGAAUUUUUUUUUUUUUUUAGACAGUCUUGCUCUGUCACCAGCCUGGAGUGCAGUGGCACAAUCUCGGCUCACUGCAACCUUCACCUCCUGGGUUCAAGCGAAUCUCCUGCCUCAGCCUCCCAAGCACCUGGGACUACAGGUGCACACCACCACAUCCAGCUAAUCUUUGUAUUUUUAGUAGAGAUGGGGUUUCACCAUGUUGGCCAGGAUAGUCUAGAUCUCUUGACCUCGUGAUCCGCCUGCCUCGGCCUCCCAGAGGAAUGUUUCUACUUUAUGAAGGUUUUGUGAAGAUUAAAUGAGAAAAAUAUAUUUAAAAUGUUAAAUAGUGUUGCUGCACACAGUAAGCAUUCCAAAACAGAAGCUACUAUUAAAUCCCUCUCAACUUGUUCAUUAAUGUUCAUUCUAAAAACAAAAUACUUCCCAUAAACACCACACUGGAGUAUGUGGGAUUAAAUGUCUCCUAUCACUGGUGGAUUUUAUUAUUGUGAUUGUUUUUAUUUUAUGAAAUGUAUACAGUUUAAAAAGGCAAAUAAAGUUCAAAAAAUUGUAAAACAAAACAACAACAAUCUCCUUUACUAACUGGGACAACCCCAUCCACAAACCACUUCCAAGAGGCAGCCACACUGAAGUCUUCUGAUUCUUCUAGGAUCUAGAGCCAUUUUUCUAAAUAAUGGGCUUAUAUUCCUAUUGCUUAUCAAUUUAAGAUAUUGACUUCCAAUUGUAUCACCAUUCCCACUUUCCCUCUCUUUUCUUACAACUUAGAUAAUUUUUCUUAAUCAUUACUUAGUUUUUACAUCAUUUUAUUAUCUACAUUCUCUCACUGACAUGCCAAGUAGUAGUCAAAUUGCAAUUUCUUUAUAAUUAAACUUUUAUUUUAAGGUAAUUGUAAAUUCUCUUAUUAUAAGAAAUGAUACAGGGAGAUCCAUCGCUCCCUUUACCCUAUUGCCCCCAGCAGUGACAUCUUGCAGAACUACAGCACAUCACACCAGGACAUGGAUGUAAACACAGCCAGAGCACCCAUCACUGUGAGGACCCCUCCUGUUGCCCUUUAUAGGCACACCUACUUCUCUCCACCCCUAGCAAACCCUAAUCUGUUCUCCACCUCAGCAACUGUGUCAUUUCAAAGAUGUUACAGAAAGGAACAUACAGUGUGAAACCUUUAGGAACGGCUUUUUUCACUCAACAUAAUUCUCUGGAGGCCCAUCCAGGUUGCUGUGUAGUUUGUUCCUUUGUUGUUGCUUUAAGACAGGGUCUCACUGUCAUCCAGGAUGGAGCACAGUGGCAUGAUCAUGGCUCACUGCAGCCUGGACUUCCUGGGCUCAAGCAAUCCUCCAGCCUCAGCCUCCCCAGUAGGUGGGACUACAGGCAGGUGCCACCAUGCCCAGCCCUUUGUAUUAUUGAAUAGUCUUCUGUGGCAUGGAUGGACCUCAUUUUGUUUAACCAUUUAUCCACCAAAGGACAUGGAGUUGUUUCCAGUUUUGGGCUACUAUGAAUACAACUGUUUUGAAUAUUAGUAGGCAGGUUUUCAUGUGAACAUAAAUUUUCAUUUCCCUGGGAUAAAUGCCUAGGAGUGCAAUUGCCAAGUUGUUCGUAGUUGCACGUGGAGAUUUGAAGAAACUGCCAGACUGCUUUCUAGAGUGGCGGUACCAUUUUACAUCCCUACCAGCAAUGAAUGAGGGGUCCAGUUCCUCCACAUCUUCUCCAGCAUCUUGUGUUCUACUUUUUUUAAACAUUCUGUUAGGUGUGUAUUGGCAGCUCAUUAUGGUUUUAAUGUGCAUUUCCCUGAUGGCUAAUGAUGCUGAGCAUAUUUUCAUGUGCUUACUGCCAUCUGUAUAUCCUCUUCAUUGAAGUAUCUCCUCCUGUCUUUUGCUUAUGUCUUAAUCGGAUUGUUUGUUUUACUGUUGAGUUUUGAGAGUUCUUUAUAUACUGUAGAUACCAACCCUCUGUCAGAUAUGUGGUUUAAAAAUAUCUCCUCUCAGUCUGUAGCAUAUGUUUUCAUUGUCUUUUAUAGAGCAAGAGUUUUAAAUUUUGAUGAAGUCCAGUUUAUCAGUUUUUUCUUUUAUGAAUUAUGCUUUAGGUAUCAAGUCUCAGAACUCUGCGUAGCCCUGCAUCCUGAAGAUUUUCUAUGUUUUAUCCUAGAAGUUGUAUUUUAUAUUUAAGCCUAUGAUCCAUUUUGAGUUAAUUUUUGUGUUUAAGUUGUGAAAUUCAGGGCAAGGUUCAAUUUUUGCCUACAAAUGUCCAACUGCUCCAGCACCAUUUGUUAAAAGGCUAUCCUAUCCCUUCUCCACUGAAUUGCUUAUGAACCUUUGUCAAGAAUCAGCUGGGCAUAUAUGUGUGGAUCUGUUUCUAGUUCAUUUUGCUCCCCUGAUCUCUGUGUCAGUCCCUCUGCAGAUACCACAGUCUUGAUUGUGAUAGCAGUAUGAUCUAUCUUGAAAUCAGACAGGCUGACUCUUCUCAUUUUCUUCUUUUUCAAAAUUAUUAUUAGCUAUUCUACUUAUUUUGCCUCUCCAUUUAAAUUUCAAGAAUAGCUUGAAAUUUAAGAUCGUGCCACUGCACUUUAAGAAUAGUCUUGUUUAUAUCUACAAAAAAUUCUUGCUGAAAUUUUGAUAGGAAUUGUAGAAUUCACUUUUAAUAGUUACAAGCUAUUCAAAUUAUUUCAUAUUGGAUGACUUGUAGUAGUAGUUUGUGCUUUUCAAGGAGUUGGUCCAUUUAUAUCAACUUAGGGACAAGUAACAUACUAAUUAGGUUGAGUCUUCCAAUCCAUGAAUUCAGUGUGUCUCUCCACUUAUUCAGAUCUUUGAUUUCUUUCAUCAGUGUUCUAUAGUUUUCAGCAUACAAAUCUUAUUCAUGUUUUGUAAGAUUUAUACCCGUGUUUCAUUUUUUAAGUGAUUGUGAAUGGUAUUGAUUUAAUUUUGAUAUCCACAUAUUCAUUGUUCAAAAACAUAUCUUGUUUGUCUGAGUUUGUUUUGUUUUGUUUUGUUUUUUUGAGGCAAAGUCUCACUCUGUCACCCAGGCUGGAGUGCAGCGGCAUGAUCUGGGCUCACUGCAAGCUCCGCCUCCCGGGUUCAUGCUGUUCUCCUGCCUCAGCCUCCCGAGUAGCUGGGACUACAGGCACCCGCCACCACGUCCGGCUAAUUUUUUGUAUUUUUAGUAGAGACAGUGUUUCACCAUGUUAGCCAGGAUGGUCUUGAUCUCCUGACCUUGUGAUCCACCUGCCUCGGCCUCCCAAAGUGCUGGGAUUACAGGCGUGAGCCACCGCACCCAGCCCCAUUUGUCUGAGUUUUUAAUCAAGAAUGGGUGCUGAAUUUUGUCAAAUAAACUUUCUGCCACUGAUUGAUAUAAUUAUGUGAUUUUUCUUCUUUAGCUUGUUAAUAUGAUGGAUUACAUUUUUUUAAGCGGUGAUUUUUCUUUUAUUUCUGCAAACAUAUGGUAUUAUUAAGCAAUUCAUCUAACUUCCCAUUUAUGGAAAUCAAUACAAAAGUUCCAAGGUGAUUCAAGUUCCCAUGCACAAUAGCAGGGCCUGAAUGGAAACCAGGCGCUGAUUUUUCAACUGAAACUGCACAAACUACUCUAAAGAAAUUGCUCUAUCAGCUGUCACUUCUAGCUGCACCUAGCAGCUAUAACGAUAGUGGAGCAAGUGUUCAACAUAUAUUUGUUGAAUAAGUUAAUGUCAGAUAGAAAGAAAAGGCUAGACAUAUGUAAAGGUAUCUGAUAAGAUACAAAUAUUGAUACAGCAAGAACACAAAGACAGGCCACAAAUAAUUUCACCAAUUUCUAUUAUACCUUCAGAACAGCACUAUCCAAACUAGUUUUGUAAAACCAAGAGGCUUUUCUAGUCAUCUUGGGGAUCGGUUAGAGUUUAGUUAUGAAAUCUUCAAAACAAAAUUUUAAUAACUUUUGAAUUAAAAAUCAUAUUAUAGGGUAUACUUAAGAGGUCUAAGGAAGGAAGGAAGGAAAAUAAGAAUCACUGUAACAAUCACAAAGUAUUAUGGUUCUAGGAAAAUUUGGAAAUAAUUAUAUUCUCCAUAGUAAUUUGCCAUAUGAGGUCACUAAUGUCUCUUCCCUACCUCUAGAAAAUGGUAAUUCUCUCCAUAAACUAGUAAAAAAUGUUUGGUGGUUCUGUGAUAUAGUCUAAUUCUACUGAACAUAAAAAGACAGCCCAGUCAAAUUGGGCUAAAUCUUGAGGACCAGAAGUGUAGUUUAUGCUGUAAGGAAGUCAAGAGUCAAGAUGGGGAACUUACAGCAAUUGGGGUUUCCCUCCUUUGAAUCUCAUCCUGGAGAUGCCUCAGAAGCAAGUGGGCUAUAGAUGGAACUCAGAACGUAAUAUAAAAACUACAGCUGGGCCAGACGUGGUGGCUUACACCUGUAAUCCCAGCACCUUUGGAGGCCGAGGCGGGAGGAUCACAAGGUCAGGAGAUCGAGACCAUCCUGACCAACACGGUGAAACCCCAUCUCUACUAAAAAUACAAAAAAAGAUUAGCUGGGCGUGGUGGCAGGCUUCUGCAGUCCCAGCCACUCGGGAGGCUGAAGCAGGAGAACAGCGUGAACCCGGGAGGCGGAGCUUGCAGUGAGCGGAGCCUGCACCACUGCACUCCAGCCUGGGCGACAGAGCGAGACUCCAUCCCAAAACGAAACAAAACAAAACAAAAAAACUAUAGCUGAUAUUCUGGAGGGAAUGGAAAAAAUAAAGACAGAUCUGUGGAACACAGACCUCAAGCACUGGAAAGGCAAGAUCACAAACUAAACAACUAAUUCUGGAGGGAGAAGAACUGAUAAGCCAGAGAAAACAAGAAUUUACAAUAAUCCUAAUAAAUAUUCUCAAGGGCAUGUAGGAGGGCACUGGAAACAAAUAGGGACAAGGAGUUAUAAAAAAGGACCAAUCAGAUAUAGUAGAAACAAACAAUUUAAUUCAGGGUUGAAUGAAUACAGUUGAGGAAUGAAUUCAUAAGACGGAGAGUGGUUUGAAACAUUCCCAGAAGGCAUUGGGAAGAGUAAAGAAUAGGAAAAAUGAGAGAAAAAUGAAAGGGCAUGAAAAAUAAAAUAAAUAUCAAUAUGUGAUUAAUGGGAGCCCUAGAAGGAAAGAAAAAAAUAAAGUUAAAUAUUUGAAGAAAUGUUAAUUAAAAUUUCUCCACAAUUUUUUUUUUUUUUGGGAUGGAGUCUCACCCCAUCACCCAGGCUGGAGUGCAGUGGCACAAUCCCAGCUCACUGCAACCUCCGCCUCCUUGGGUUCAAGUGAUUCUCCUGCCAAUGGAUUACAUUUUCAAGUAUCAAACCAGCCUUGCAUCCUCAGAACAAACUCCACUUGUUCACGGUGUAUAAUUUUUUUGUUGUUUAUUCUCACAGCCACAGUAGGUAUAAUUUUUUCUAUAUUGCUGAAUAUGUUACCUAAUAGUUUCCUGAGGAAUUUUAUGUUUGUAUUGGUGUCUGUUAUUUCUUUUAAUUUUGCACUGUUUUUUGUCUGGUUUGGUAUCAGGGCAAUACUGCCCUUACAAAAUGAGUCAGAAAAUAUUCCAAGUGCAGUGGUUCAUGCCUAUAAUUCCAGGACUUUGGGAGGCUGAGGUGGGAGGACUGCUUGAGUCUAGGAGUUCAAGACAGCCUGGUCAACACAGUGAGACCUCAUCUCUACAAAAUAAAAAAUUAGCUGGGCAUGGUGGCAGGCACCUGUAGUCUCAGCUACUCAGGAGGCUAAGGUGGGAGGGCUGCUUGAGCUUGGAAGGUCGAGGCUGCAGUGAACCAUGAUCAUGCCACUGCACUCUAACAUGGGCAACAGAGACAGACCCUAUCUCAAGGAAAAAAAAAAAAAAAAAAGAAGAAGAAGAGAAGAGAAAGCAGAGAAGAGAAGAGAGAACAGAAGAGUUCCCUCCCUUUCUGUUUUUCUGGAAGAGUAUGUAGAAUUGACAUUAAUUCUUUAAAUGUUUGAUAGAAUUCUCCAGUGAAACCAUUUGGGCCUAAAGACUUUUUUUAAUGGGAGUUUUCAAAUUAGAUACUGAAUUUCUUUAAUAAUUAUAGGGGUAUUCAAAUGAUCUAUUUCAUAUUGGAUGACUGUGGGAGGAGUUUGUGCUUUUCAAGGAAUUGGUCUAUUUUUUGGCCCACUGUGUGUGGAGUUGCUUGUGUUCUCUCAUUAUCCUUUUGAUUCUCAGGGUCUCUCAGAACUUGAAGAAUGUUGUGCCACUGGUCCUCAUUAUGUGUAACAAGAAAUCUGCUUUCUGUUUUCCCCUAUGAGUAAAGUGUUUCUUUCUUGCCACUUUCAAGAUUUUUUGUUGUUGUUGUCUUUACUUUUCAGAAAUUCUACUAUGAUGGGCUUUAGUAGUGGAUUUAUCUUGUUUGGCGUUUGCUCAGCUUUCUGAAUCUUUUAAGUUUGUCCUUUGCCAAACGUUUCAACCCAUAAGAUCUUUGAAAAGUUUUUCAGCCCUUCCCUCUUUCUCCUCUCUUUUCAGGACUUCAACAAUACAAAUGCUAGAAAAUUUAACCUAGGCCCUCAGAAGGGAAGGGAACGGCACCUUUUUUUUUUGAGAUGGAAUCUCGCUCUGUUACCCAGGCUGGAGUGCAGUGGUGAGAUCUCAGCUCACUGCAAUCUCCAUCUUCCGGAGUCAAGCAAUACUCCUGCCUCAGCCUCCUGAGAUUACAGGCGUGUGCCACCACAACUGGCUAAUUUUUGUAUUUCUAGUAGAGAUGGGGUUUCACCAUGUUGGUCAGGCUGGUCUUGAACUCCUGACCUCGUGAUCCGUCCGCCUCAGUCUCCCAAAGUACUGGGAUUACAGGCAUGGGCCACGGCGCUCGACAACACCACCUUUACCACCAAGUAGGGGUCAAAGGUCAGAUUCCCUACUUGGCCUCCUGCGUGGAGGGCUCCUUCCUCGUUACUGCUGGGUAUGAUAAGAGUUCUGGUUCCCCAUGUGGCUUCCACUGAUUCUUCCCUGGUUGGAAGGAAUAGGAGGGCCUCAUUACUGCCCCACCCAAUGUGGUCUCCACUAACACUCCAGAACCACACAAGGUUCCUUAGGGGUUUGUUACUGCCCAACAGGGAUAAAAGUCCAUGGUCCCUAUUCAACUUUCUCUGGAGGAGUAAGUGGCCCUCACUUAGCCUCUGGUAGCAGGCACAGAGGUAGGACCACAGUCCUUUCUAUCAUGUUUGGUUUGCACUGAGCAGUUGUCUAAAUAUUCUCUGUUUUGUGCUAGGCUGCCCCUUUCCUGGUCCUUUGGUCAGAAGGAGCUGGCUUUGGCAGGGGGUUCUGUCUGUACCUGUUGGUGUUUCUGGGCUGCCAGUUUCUUCGGCUCAUAGUCUGGGCUACAUGAGGCAAAAAGACAACCUGAAGAAAUCACUACUGGGUCAUUUUCUGGGUCCUGGGUGGUCUGCGUUCUCUUUACCUUUCAGAGUGUUCUUACGUUAUUGCAUAUAGUGUCCAAGGAUUUUAGAUUUUAGAUGCACUUAACUAGAAGAACAGGGAAAAGAAUGUCUACUUCAUCUUCCCAGAAACAGGAGUUUCCAACAUUUAAGUUUUCAUUUUUAAUGAUUUAUUAUCAAUUCCUCCACACCUCUAUUUGCUUUGUUUCUAUGUACUAUUCUAUUUCUUCAGCAACUUCUCAAUACAUUAUUCUACCCAAACAUAUAGUCUAUACUUACUUAUCCCAGAGCUUCUGUGGCCUGUUUCUUAGAUUAAUUUCCUGGGACUUCACUUUCCUGUCAUCCUGGGAAUUAUCUUUGUUCCUUUCCCUGGCAGACCCCUUGGGCUAUGAAUCCGUGUCUUCCUAUUCUUGGUUUGCCCUUGUGUUUUGUUUUGUUUUUGAAGACCGCGUCUCACGCUGUCGCCUAGGCUGGAGUGCAGGGGUGCGAUCUCGGCUCACUGCAACCUCCGCCUCCCGGGUUCAAGCUAUUCUCGUGCCUCAGCCUCCCAAGUAGCUGGAAUUACAGGCGUGUGCCACUACACCUGGCUAAUUUUUCUGGCAUUUUUAAUAGAGACAGGGUUUCGCCAUGUUGGCCAGGCUGAUCUCAAACUCCUGGCCUCAUCUGAUCUGCCCCCCUUGGCCUCCCAAAGUGCUGGGAUUACAGGCGUGAGCCACCAUGCCCGGCCUCCCCUUAUGUUUUGAUGCAGCACAUCCUCCAGUAACUUCUAAGAACAGGCUUCUGUGAGUUGAGGUUUUAGAGACCUGUCUAGUCAUCAUGACAGGAUCCUUUCAAUGGGGGGAGUCAUGUCCAUCAGUCAAUUAUUCAAAAUGUUCUUCCUUUACUGUCUUAAUAACUUCUUCUCACUCUUCCCUUCAUUCUUUUUUCUUGGGAGUCAGAUGUUGAACUUCCUGAAUUGGUCAUCUAAUUUCAUUUCUCUUUCUCAUCUUUUGUUUAUUAACCUUCUUUGUUUUUUGAAUAUUCUUUCUGGGACUUUUUUUUACUUUUUUUUUUGAGACGGAGUCUCGCUCUAUUGCCCAGGCUGAAGUGGCACAAUCUGGGAUCACUGCAAGCUCCACCUCCUGGGUUCACGCCAUUCUCCUAUGUCAGCCUCCCGAGUAGCUGGGACUACAGGUGCCCGCCACCGCGCCCGGCUAAUUUUUUGUAUUUUUAGUAGAGACAGGGUUUCACUGUGUUAGCCAGGAUGGUCUCAAUCUCCUGACCUCGUGAUUGGCCUCCCAAAGUGCUGGGAUUACAGGCAUGAGCCACAGCACCUGGCCUUUUUUUUUACUUUUAUCUUUCAACACCUCUAUUGAAUUUUUUAAAGAUAUAUAAAUAACAUAGUUGUUUUGUUUUGUUUUCUUUUGACAUACAGUCUCACUCUUUCACCCAAGCUGGAGUGCAGUGGUGUGAUCUUGGCUCACUGCAACCUCCACCUCCCAGGUUCAAGCAAUUCUCCUGCCUCAGCCUCCCAAGUAGCUGGGAUUACAGGCGCCUGCCACCACGCCCGGCUAAUUUUUGUAUUUUUAGUAGAGACGGGGUUUCUCCAUGUUGGCCAGGCUGCUCUCGAACUCCUGACCUCAAGUGAUCCGCACACCUUGGCCUCCUAAAGUGCUGGGAUUACAGGUGUGAGCCACCGCACCUGGCCUAAUUAACAGUUUUAAUUCCAGAAGCUCUUCCUCUCACCUUUUUAUUUAAAAGUAGAAUCCUGUUGUCACUGUCAACAAUAUUUCCUCUUAUCUUUCUGAAAAUAUUAUAUACUUUUACAUUUCUUCCCCUAUUUUCUGCAUUGUUGCUGUUUAUUCAUGUUUGUGUAUUUGUCUUGAGCUCUGCCUUUAGGUUGAAAGUUGUCCUCAAAUGUGUACUUAUACUCAGCUGCCUGUGUUUGAAAUGAGGCUCCAAAAAGCUGACAGACGUCGGAUGCCUGGCGGGAGUCCUGACUGUUGGAGUUUAUUCAGGCUGGUUGGUUGGGUAAACCCAAGGGCCAGUAGGGGCUGCUUAACUUCCCCAAUGAGCACCCUUCCAAGAAUUCCUUUGUGGGAAAGGCCUGGUUGCAGGCAUUCUAGAAGCUUGAAAGAAAAAGGAAUUGGGAAUUCUCUCCAUUCCACAUACAGGCUUUGACUUGACUUCCUUAUCUUCUGUCUUGGUCUCUCCCCACCUGCCCCUGUACCAGGUUUCUGCACGUCCAAAGCCCCAUCUUCCAGUGGGUGGGGAUGAGUUAAUCAUCUGGCUGAGCCAGGCGGUGACUGUUAGACCUGCAAGGUCAUGGCCUUGACCAGGUAACUCUUUUCAACUGCAAACUACAGGAGAUGUGAGUUUUCUCCCAGCUCUUUAACCCUCUUCUGGUGGAGCAGCACAUACUACUCACACAGCCAAGUCUUCGAGAGAAAGAAGGUGGCAUUGCUACUACAGAAAAAAAUAAACUGGGGUCAGCAGACAGAAUCUGGGUUUUCAGUUAUCCAAUUAUUAAAUUUAUCAGCAUAGACAAGACAAUGGGUGGGAUAAUCAACUACUAAGGUGUUUGUGUGGCUGUGUCUUAUAAACUCAAGAGUGUCUGGUGGAUACAAGCAUGACCGUCACUGUCGUUUGGCA